AAUCUCACUGCCACAUAUCUCUCUCUCUACCCUUCUUUCUAAAUUUAUACCUGACUAGCGACGGUGACGGCGACAAUGCACAAAGGCGGUGGCGAUAGUUACAAAGGCGCUGCUUUAAUUUUGUUCUCUCUUAUUCCAAGUUAAACCAGGACUUAAAGAGAAUAUCCAGGACUAUUCUGUAGAGGCUGCUAAUCGACUGAAGUUGUAAGCAGCAGGUGAAGUUCCAGAAAUUAUUUUAAGAAAAAUGAUCAAGGCAUACACUUCAGGUGGUUAAUAAAGAAAAUCGAUGGAAUCAAAAGGUCAUGCUAAUGGACGACGUAAGAAAGGUAAGAAAGGACCUGAUAAUCUUUCUGUAGGUCAAUAUACACCACCACCACCUGUUACCACAACUCUUCAACCAGCUACUAUAAAUAUUUUUCCUCCUCCUAGGGCAACACCCCCACCGUCCAACCAUUUCCACACCUCUUCUCCCCAUAAUAUUUUGCAUAGUAGCUCUUCAUCUGUACAUUCGACAUCAUCCACACAUAGCCUUUCUGGAUUGAGAAUUGGAGGUCCUAGAAUAUCAACAUCGUCACCCAUUGAUAGUGCUACAAUGUCUAAUGCUACAACAGCUAUUUUUCAUAUUCUGAAAUUUAAAGAGGUAGUAGAAUAUGACGGCAAUGUGAGGCUAAUUAUCGUCCCUGAUGGUAAUGGGUAAGUAACCCUUAUGUUACCCUUAUGUUUUUCCAUAAUCAAAAGCUAAAAUGAUUUAAUAUAAUUUUAUUGCAGGUUCAUUCCCACAUAUAGCGCAGGGCAUAUGAUUAUAAAAGCAAUUAAACCAUUUUACACAGAGUCGUGGGGUAGUUGGAAUGAAAUUCGACUCAAAAUUAAAAUUCUUAUGUGGAAACAGUUUAUGAUAUAAUUAAAAACAAAGAAUUUACCAUUUCAGUAUACUAUCAAUGAUGAAUUUACCUUUGUAUCCAUCAACUUAUUUCAUGACUUUAUAUUAAACUAUUUUGCAGACAAAGUGUGCAUGAAAUUCUUGUCAUGAAAAUGAAAUACAAUGCAUUUUCAAGUUAAAAGCAGCUCUACGGAUCAAAGAACACAUGUAUGAGGUCCGGAAGAACUUGGAUAAACCUGGUUGGCUAAAUGCUGAUGUGUGGGCCUAGUUCUUGGAAAAAUGGGAUACUCUUGAAUAUAGGGCGAGGAGGGAACGGGCAAAGGCAAAUAGAGCAUCUGAAAUGGGUGGCUCGUUUCACAGGAGGUUCGAUGAGUUUCGCUACCCAUCGACGAAGACUGGGUAAUGAAAAAACACUGAUGUGAUCGCUACUGAGUGUUGUGUUUUCCUAAGCUAUGCAAAUGAAACUUUUCAAUUUGUGGUGUUCAUGCCUCUUGUAAUAUGGCUUUGAUUUAACUGCUUCUAAAUAUUUUACUGUUCAAUAUUAUCCUUUUGUAAAACUGAGAUGUAAUUGAAUAUACAACAACAAUGAUUGUGCCUCAUUCCUAAACAACUAUCAAUUUCUACCACUUUUGGCUUUGGAUUUCAAUUCACAUCUAAUGGUUUGACAAACCAGUUAGUUCAUACUUGUAUUAUCACUUUUUCUAAAAUUUUGCAAGAAUAUAAAAAUAGGGAAAAAGAGCCCACUUUUCUUGAGGUCUACGAAGAGACGCAUAGGAAGAAAAAGAAGGACGGUACAAGAGGGGAUUGGGUCAAAACGCGUGCUAAGGAUGUAUAUAUAAGAUAAUAACUUUUACAUACAUUAUUUUAUUAUUACACAACUUAGCUUGUUUACAUACUGACAAAUAAUUUUUCUUUCAGGAAGAAUUUCAAAAAAACAUAGAAGAUUGGCGUCAAAUCCAACCUACUUCAGAGGAUGGUACCAUGGUCCAACCAUCACCUACAGAUACGACUAAUAUAUGGACAGCUGUGGUAGGUGGUCCAAAAAAAGGUAGAACCUACGGGACAGGAGUUCUCCAAUCCUCAAGUAGUCCUUCAUUAUUUCCCAAUUCCUCUUCUACUUUGCAAACUAUGGGAGAAAUAGAAGCGAUGAAAAAGUAAAUUGUGGAAUUGACGCAGCAAUGUGUAGCUAACGAUGCUAAGUUUACUAAAUUUGAGGAGUUGAUUAAGAAGCACAAGCCUCAAGUAUUCCAUGAUGUGGAAGAGAGUGAAUCUGAUGAUAAUUAGAUUGUAGUUAUUGUUCUUGUUUUUGGUUGUGACAUUUAGAUGUUUAAACUAUUUGAUUUGAUGUUUGUCUUGGAUGUUUUAAAGUGGUUAUAUUUACAAAUUUUUGUCUUGUUUGAUCC